GACGAACCGAGCAAACGUUAUUCGGAAUCACUGGGCUUAAAGCGUGUGUAGGCGGAUCGUUAAGUGUCUUGUGAAAUCCCACGGCUCACCCGUGGAACUGCUGGGCAUACUGGCGAUCUUGGGCCAACUAGGGGCAACUGGAACAAGCGGUGGAGCGGUGAAAUGCGUAGAUAUCGCUUGGAACGCCAAAGGUGAAAACAGGUUGCUGGGGUUGUGCCGACGCUGAGACACGAAAGCCAGGGGAGCAAACGGG
rnacentral:rRNA from 1 species